rnacentral:tRNA from 1 species
ACUCUAAUAGUUUAUGA